UACGUAGGGUGCGAGCGUUAAUCGGAAUCACUGGGCGUAAAGCGCACGUAGGCGGAUCUUUAAGUCAGGGGUGAAAUCCCGAGGCUCAACCUCGGAACUGCCUUUGAUACUGGGGAUCUCGAGUCCGGGAGAGGUGAGUGGAACUGCGAGUGUAGAGGUGAAAUUCGUAGAUAUUCGCAAGAACACCAGUGGCGAAGGCGCUCACUGGCCCGGAACUGACGCUGAGGUGCGAAAGCGUGGGGAGCAAACAGG
rnacentral:rRNA from 1 species